UACGGAGGGUGCAAGCGUUGCUCGGAAUUAUUGGGCGUAAAGGGUAGGUAGGUGGUCUCAUUUGUCUAGGGUGAAAGCCUUGAGCUUAACUCAAGAAGUGCCCUAGAAACGGUGAGACUGGAGUACUGGAGAGGGUCGUGGAAUUCCCGGUGUAGCGGUGAAAUGCGUAGAUAUCUGGAGGAACACCGGUGGCGAAGGCGGCAUCCUGGACCGACACUGACGCUGAGGAGCGAAGCCAGGGAGCAAACGGG
rnacentral:rRNA from 1 species